UACGUAGGGGGCUAGCGUUAUUCGGAAUUACUGGGCGUAAAGGGUGCGUAGGUGGUUUCUUAAGUCAGAGGUGAAAGGCUACGGCUCAACCGUAGUAAGCCUUUGAAACUGGGAAACUUGAGUGCAGGAGAGGAGAGUGGAAUUCCUAGUGUAGCGGUGAAAUGCGUAGAUAUUAGGAGGAACACCAGUUGCGAAGGCGGCUCUCUGGACUGUAACUGACACUGAGGCACGAAAGCGUGGGGAGCAAACAGG
rnacentral:rRNA from 2 species